UACCAGCACCCCGAGUGGUCGGGACGAUUAUUGGGCCUAAAGCAUCCGUAGCCGGUUCUGCAAGUCCCCCGUUACAUCCAGCUGCUCAACCGAUGGGCUGCUGGAGAUACUACAGAGCUAGGGAGUGGGAGAGGCAGACGGUAUUCAGUGGGUAGGGGUAAAAUCCGCUGAUCCAUUGAGGACCAACAGUGGCGAAGGCGGUCUGCCAGAACACGUUCGACGGUGAGGGAUGAAAGCUGGGGGAGCAAACCGG
rnacentral:rRNA from 1 species